GUAUAUUUUCAUGUUAUUCUGUUUAUAAUGUUCAGUAUAUUUCAUGUUAUUCUGUUCAUAAUGUUCAGUAUAUUUCAUGUUAUUCUGUUUAUAAUGUUCAGUAUAUUUUCAUGUUAUUCUGUUUAUAAUGUUCAGUAUAUUUUCAUGUUAUUCUGUUUAUAAUGUUCAGUAUAUUUUCAUGUUAUUCUGUUUAUAAUGUUCAGUAUAUUUCAUGUUAUUCUGUUUAUAAUGUUCAGUAUAUUUCAUGUUAUUCUGUUCAUAAUGUUCAGUAUAUUUUCAUGUUAUUCUGUUAAUAAUGUUCAGUAUAUUUUCAUGUUAUUCUGUUCAUAUUGUUCAGUAUAUUUUCAUGUUAUUCUGUUCAUAAUGUUCAGUAUAUUUUCAUGUUAUUCUGUUUAUAAUGUUCAGUAUAUUUCAUGUUAUUCUGUUCAUAAUGUUCAGUAUAUUUUCAUGGUUAGUUACUAUUUUUAUACUACUAGCUACUAGUCUUUGCUAGCGGGCUUCACCUUUAGAUCAAAUAAUGCCUGCCAGUCUGCACAGGGCGAUAUAAACCCUGAGCAUAUAAACACUGAGCACAUCAACCCUGAGCACAUCAACCCUGAGCACAUCAACCCUGAGCAUAUAAACCCUGAGCAUAUCAACCCUGAGCACAUCAACCCUGAGCAUAUAAACCCUGAGCAUAUAAACCCUGAGCACAUCAACCCUGAGCACAUCAACCCUGAGCACAUCAACCCUGAGCAUAUAAACCCUGAGCACAUCAACCCUGAGCAUAUAAACCCUGAGCAUAUAAACCCUGAGCAUAUCAACCCUGAGCAUAUCAACCCUGAGCACAUCAACCCUGAGCAUAUCAACCCUGAGCAUAUCAACCCUGAGCAUAUCAACCCUGAGCAUAUCAACCCUGAGCAUAUCAACCCUGAGCAUAUCAACCCUGAUAAUAUCAACCCUGAGCAUAUAAACCCUGAGCAUAUCAAUGCUGAGCAUAUCAACCCUGAGCAUAUCAACCCUGAGCACAUCAACCCUGAGCAUAUCAACCCUGAGCAUAUCAACCCUGAGCAUAUCAACCCUGAGCACAUCAACCCUGAGCAUAUCAACCCUGAGCAUAUCAACCCUGAGCACAUCAACCCUGAGCAUAUCGACCCUGAGCACAUCAACCCACCCUGAGCACAUCAACCCUCAGCAUACCAGCCCUGAUAAUAUCAACACUGAUCAUAUCGGACUGCUUUUCUAAAUCACCAUAUUCCUGCCGUUAGAAUGGAUCAUCGCAGCUAGCUUGCUCCAACCGAGCGGCUAUUGUUGGCUAACGCCUGUCCCGAAGCUUGCACCAGUUAGCCUCAAGCUAAGCCCAUCUCCCGGCUAGCUGCCGAAGACCCAUCUGCUAGCCACGGCCCGCUAGCUUUCUGAACGCCGUGUCUCCUGCUCGCCUAGAGUAGUAAUCGACUAGUGAACGGCUCCCUGACUCAUCUAUUGCAGCUCAUUGGACCCUAUGAGCACUCGGCUACACAGCUGAUGCCUACUGGACGGUUCACCAACCCUGAUAAUAUCAACCCUGAGCACAUCAACCCUGAGCACAUCAACCCUGAGCAUAUCAACCCUGAGCAUAUCAACCCUGAGCAUAUCAACCCUGAGCAUAUCAACCCUGAGCAUACGAGCCCUGAUAAUAUCAACCCUGAGCAUAUCAACCGUGAGCAUAUCAACCCUGAGCAUAUCAACCCUGAGCAUAUCAACCCUGAGCACAUCAACCCUGAGCAUAUCAACCCUGAGCAUACGAGCCCUGAUAAUAUCAACCCUGAGCAUAUCAACCCUGAGCAUACGAGCCCUGAUAAUAUCAACCCUGAGCAUAUCAACCCUGAGCAUAUCAAUCCUGAGCAUAUCAACCCUGAGCAUAUCAACCCUGAGCACAUCAACCCUGAGCACAUCAACCCUGAGCAUAUCAACCCUGAGCACAUCAACCCUGAGCAUAUCAACCCUGAGCAUAUCAACCCUGAGCAUAUCAACCCUGAGCAUAUCAACCCUGAGCAUAUCAACCCUGAGCACAACAACCCUGAGCAUAUCAAUCCUGAGCACAUCAACCCUGAGCAUAUCGACCCUGAGCACAUAUAAUACCAGACUAUAGAUGACAGGUAGAGAGAUGGUAAUAAUACCAGACUAUAGAUGACUGGUAGAGAGAUGGUAAUAAUACCAGACUAUAGAUGACUGGUAGAGAGAUGGUAAUAAUACCAGACUAUAGAUGACAGGUAGAGAGAUGGUAAUAAUACCAGACUAUAGAUGACUGGUAGAGAGAUGGUAAUAAUACCAGACUAUAGAUGACUGGUAGAGAGAUGGUAAUAAUACCAGACUAUAGAUGACAGGUAGAGAGAUGGUAAUAAUACCAGACUAUAGAUGACUGGUAGAGAGAUGGUAAUAACACCAGACUAUAGAUGACUGGUAGAGAGAUGGUAAUAAUACCAGACUAUAGAUGACUGGUAGAGAGAUGGUAAUAAUACCAGACUAUAGAUGACUGGUAGAGAGAUGGUAAUAAUACCAGACUAUAGAUGACUGGUAGAGAGAUGGUAAUAAUACCAGACUAUAGAUGACUGGUAGAGAGAUGGUAAUAAUACCAGACUAUAGAUGACUGGUAGAGAGAUGGUAAUAAUACCAGACUAUAGAUGACUGGUAGAGAGAUGGUAAUAACACCAGACUAUAGAUGACUGGUAGAGAGAUGGUAAUAAUACCAGACUAUAGAUGACUGGUAGAGAGAUGGUAAUAAUACCAGACUAUAGAUGACAGGUAGAGAGAUGGUAAUAAUACCAGACUAUAGAUGACUGGUAGAGAUAUGGUAAUAAUACCAGACUAUAGAUGACUGGUAGAGAGAUGGUAAUAAUACCAGACUAUAGAUGACUGGUAGAGAGAUGGUAAUAAUACCAGACUAUAGAUGACUGGUAGAGAGAUGGUAAUAAUACCAGACUAUAGAUGACUGGUAGAGAGAUGGUAAUAAUACCAGACUAUAGAUGACAGGUAGAGAGAUGGUAAUAAUACCAGACUAUAGAUGACUGGUAGAGAGAUGGUAAUAAUACCAGACUAUAGAUGACUGGUAGAGAGAUGGUAAUAAUACCAGACUAUAGAUGACUGGUAGAGAGAUGGUAAUAAUACCAGACUAUAGAUGACAGGUAGAGAGAUGGUAAUAAUACCAGACUAUAGAUGACAGGUAGAGAGAUGGUAAUAAUACCAGACUAUAGAUGACUGGUAGAGAGAUGGUAAUAAUACCAGACUAUAGAUGACAGGUAGAGAGAUGGUAAUAAUACCAGACUAUAGAUGACAGGUAGAGAGAUGGUAAUAAUACCAGACUAUAGAUGACUGGUAGAGAGAUGGUAAUAACACCAGACUAUAGAUGACAGGUAGAGAGAUGGUAAUAAUACCAGACUAUAGAUGACUGGUAGAGAGAUGGUAAUAAUACCAGACUAUAGAUGACUGGUAGAGAGAUGGUAAUAAUACCAGACUAUAGAUGACUGGUAGAGAGAUGGUAAUAAUACCAGACUAUAGAUGACUGGUAGAGAGAUGGUAAUAAUACCAGACUAUAGAUGACUGGUAGAGAGAUGGUAAUAAUACCAGACUAUAGAUGACUGGUAGAGAGAUGGUAAUAAUACCAGACUAUAGAUGACAGGUAGAGAGAUGGUAAUAAUACCAGACUAUAGAUGACAGGUAGAGAGAUGGUAAUAAUACCAGACUAUAGAUGACUGGUAGAGAUAUGGUAAUAAUACCAGACUAUAGAUGACUGGUAGAGAGAUGGUAAUAAUACCAGACUAUAGAUGACUGGUAGAGAGAUGGUAAUAAUACCAGACUAUAGAUGACUGGUAGAGAGAUGGUAAUAAUACCAGACUAUAGAUGACUGGUAGAGAGAUGGUAAUAAUACCAGACUAUAGAUGACUGGUAGAGAGAUGGUAAUAAUACCAGACUAUAGAUGACUGGUAGAGAGAUGGUAAUAAUACCAGACUAUAGAUGACAGGUAGAGAGAUGGUAAUAAUACCAGACUAUAGAUGACAGGUAGAGAGAUGGUAAUAAUACCAGACUAUAGAUGACAGGUAGAGAGAUGGUAAUAAUACCAGACUAUAGAUGACAGGUAGAGAGAUGGUAAUAAUACCAGACUAUAGAUGACUGGUAGAGAGAUGGUAAUAAUACCAGACUAUAGAUGACAGGUAGAGAGAUGGUAAUAAUACCAGACUAUAGAUGACAGGUAGAGAGAUGGUAAUAAUACCAGACUAUAGAUGACAGGUAGAGAGAUGGUAAUAAUACCAGACUAUAGAUGACUGGUAGAGAGAUGGUAAUAAUACCAGACUAUAGAUGACUGGUAGAGAGAUGGUAAUAAUACCAGACUAUAGAUGACUGGUAGAGAGAUGGUAAUAAUACCAGACUAUAGAUGACUGGUAGAGAGAUGGUAAUAAUACCAGACUAUAGAUGACUGGUAGAGAGAUGGUAAUAAUACCAGACUAUAGAUGACUGGUAGAGAGAUGGUAAUAAUACCAGACUAUAGAUGACAGGUAGAGAGAUGGUAAUAAUACCAGACUAUAGAUGACAGGUAGAGAGAUGGUAAUAAUACCAGACUAUAGAUGACUGGUAGAGAGAUGGUAAUAACACCAGACUAUAGAUGACAGGUAGAGAGAUGGUAAUAAUACCAGACUAUAGAUGACUGGUAGAGAGAUGGUAAUAAUACCAGACUAUAGAUGACUGGUAGAGAGAUGGUAAUAAUACCAGACUAUAGAUGACAGGUAGAGAGAUGGUAAUAAUACCAGACUAUAGAUGACAGGUAGAGAUAUGGUAAUAAUACCAGACUAUAGAUGACUGGUAGAGAGAUGGUAAUAAUACCAGACUAUAGAUGACUGGUAGAGAGAUGGUAAUAAUACCAGACUAUAGAUGACAGGUAGAGAGAUGGUAAUAAUACCAGACUAUAGAUGACUGGUAGAGAGAUGGUAAUAAUACCAGACUAUAGAUGACUGGUAGAGAGAUGGUAAUAAUACCAGACUAUAGAUGACUGGUAGAGAGAUGGUAAUAAUACCAGACUAUAGAUGACUGGUAGAGAGAUGGUAAUAACACCAGACUAUAGAUGACAGGUAGAGAGAUGGUAAUAAUACCAGACUAUAGAUGACUGGUAGAGAGAUGGUAAUAAUACCAGACUAUAGAUGACUGGUAGAGAGAUGGUAAUAAUACCAGACUAUAGAUGACUGGUAGAGAGAUGGUAAUAAUACCAGACUAUAGAUGACUGGUAGAGAGAUGGUAAUAAUACCAGACUAUAGAUGACAGGUAGAGAGAUGGUAAUAAUACCAGACUAUAGAUGACUGGUAGAGAGAUGGUAAUAAUACCAGACUAUAGAUGACAGGUAGAGAGAUGGUAAUAAUACCAGACUAUAGAUGACUGGUAGAGAGAUGGUAAUAAUACCAGACUAUAGAUGACUGGUAGAGAGAUGGUAAUAAUACCAGACUAUAGAUGACUGGUAGAGAGAUGGUAAUAAUACCAGACUAUAGAUGACUGGUAGAGAUAUGGUAAUAAUACCAGACUAUAGAUGACUGGUAGAGAGAUGGUAAUAAUACCAGACUAUAGAUGACUGGUAGAGAGAUGGUAAUAAUACCAGACUAUAGAUGACAGGUAGAGAGAUGGUAAUAAUACCAGACUAUAGAUGACUGGUAGAGAGAUGGUAAUAAUACCAGACUAUAGAUGACAGGUAGAGAGAUGGUAAUAACACCAGACUAUAGAUGACAGGUAGAGAGAUGGUAAUAAUACCAGACUAUAGAUGACAGGUAGAGAGAUGGUAAUAAUACCAGACUAUAGAUGACUGGUAGAGAGAUGGUAAUAAUACCAGACUAUAGAUGACUGGUAGAGAGAUGGUAAUAAUACCAGACUAUAGAUGACUGGUAGAGAGAUGGUAAUAAUACCAGACUAUAGAUGACUGGUAGAGAGAUGGUAAUAAUACCAGACUAUAGAUGACUGGUAGAGAGAUGGUAAUAAUACCAGACUAUAGAUGACAGGUAGAGAGAUGGUAAUAAUACCAGACUAUAGAUGACUGGUAGAGAGAUGGUAAUAACACCAGACUAUAGAUGACUGGUAGAGAGAUGGUAAUAAUACCAGACUAUAGAUGACUGGUAGAGAGAUGGUAAUAAUACCAGACUAUAGAUGACUGGUAGAGAGAUGGUAAUAAUACCAGACUAUAGAUGACUGGUAGAGAGAUGGUAAUAAUACCAGACUAUAGAUGACUGGUAGAGAGAUGGUAAUAAUACCAGACUAUAGAUGACUGGUAGAGAGAUGGUAAUAAUACCAGACUAUAGAUGACUGGUAGAGAGAUGGUAAUAAUACCAGAC